rnacentral:rRNA from 1 species
AUUGAACGUUGGCGGCAGGCCUAAAACAUGCAAGUCGAACGGUAACAGCGAGAGCUUGCUCUCGGCUGACAAGUGGCGAACGGGUGAGUAACACGUAGGAAUCUACCCAAUAGUGGGGGACAACCCGGGGAAACCCGGGCUAAUACCGCAUACGCCCUCUUAUCGAAAGAUAAGGGAGGAAAGCGGGGGAUCUUCGGACCUCGCGCUAUUGGAGGAGCCUGCGUCGGAUUAGCUAGUUGGUAGGGUAAAGGCCUACCAAGGCGACGAUCCGUAGCUGGUCUGAGAGGACGAUCAGCCACACUGGAACUGAGACACGGCCCAGACUCCUACGGGAGGCAGCAGUGGGGAAUCUUGCGCAAUGGGCGAAAGCCUGACGCAGCGACGCCGCGUGA